CUGAAAAUGAAGGACUCACAGCAGACAGGGUGGGGUCCUAGUUGCCAACACUUCUGGUGACAGAAUGCCAAGCCUUCAGUUGUGCCAGGCCAAGCAUGUUAAGCAUGUGGCUCUGGUGGACUUCUCUUGGCCCACGCAAGACAGCUGGCUCCACUGCAAGGAAGUGGGAGGAGAGGCCUGCCUUGCCAACUGCCUCUUCCCUGCUCUUGCUUCCAGGCUGUGAACUGCUUACAGUGAACCUUUGUUUAUGAAGAACUGAAGUGAACAUGCCUCAGUUGAUAGUGCCAUAUGACCAGUGCACUCUACAAAAGGUGAAAAGCCCUGCUGUGGUCACAGCUGUUGGGGCCUCCCUCCUUCAGAGUGAUAAACCACUUGCCCUGUGUGGGGACCUGCAGAAGCCAUGAAGAAUGUCAGCACCUGUAGAGGCUGCUAUUUAUUCCAAAUGAUUCACAAUGGUGUAAUAAAUUCAGGAAAAUGGAAAAGGGA